rnacentral:rRNA from 1 species
UACGGAGGGUGCAAGCGUUGCUCGGAAUUAUUGGGCGUAAAGGGCAAGUAGGUGGUCUUAUUUGUCUAGGGUGAAAGCCUUAAGCUUAACUUAAGAAGUGCCCUAGAAACGGUAAGACUAGAGUCCUGGAGAGGGUCGUGGAAUUCCCGGUGUAGCGGUGAAAUGCGUAGAGAUCGGGAGGAACACCAGAGGCGAAAGCGGCGA